GCCCUUCGGGGUACUCGAGUGGCGAACGGGUGAGUAACACGUGGGUGAUCUGCCCUGCACUUCGGGAUAAGCUUGGGAAACUGGGUCUAAUACCGGAUAUACCUCUUUAGUUGCAUGACUUUGGGGGGAAAGCUUUUGCGGUGUGGGAUGGGCCCGCGGCCUAUCAGCUUGUUGGUGGGGUGAUGGCCUACCAAGGCGACGACGGGUAGCCGGCCUGAGAGGGUGACCGGCCACACUGGGACUGAGAUACGGCCCAGACUCCUACGGGAGGCAGCAGUGGGGAAUAUUGCACAAUGGGCGCAAGCCUGAUGCAGCGACGCCGCGUGAGGGAUGACGGCCUUCGGGUUGUAAACCUCUUUCAGUAGGGACGAAGCGCAAGUGACGGUACCUAUAGAAGAAGGACCGGCCAACUACGUGCCAGCAGCCGCGGUAAUACGUAGGGUCCGAGCGUUGUCCGGAAUUACUGGGCGUAAAGAGCUCGUAGG
rnacentral:rRNA from 1 species